rnacentral:piRNA from 1 species
UGCCUAUACAUGUCGGUGAGGGUCUUCAGU